GUCGAUGUACAAAUUUAUUAAACUGAUGAGUACUAAUAAUGUAAAAGAAUUGUGUAAUUUAGGUAAAUUUAUUUUUAGAUCUUUUAAGCUUAGAUCCGAAAUGUUAAAAUAAUGUUUGUUUAUCAUUACAACACCUUCUGCUGUCACAUAGUCUGUGUUUAUGUAUGUAUUAUAUGUUUUAUUGAUGUUGAUAUAAUUGUAUACCUAUA
rnacentral:lncRNA from 1 species